rnacentral:lncRNA from 1 species
GAUCUGCUUCACAUACAUCAUCUUGCUGCAUUCAUGUCUAAAAUAUGGAAUGGCCUACAAACAAAGACAAUUAUUUCUGGUUUCUAAUUAGCAUCACAAUUGGAGAUAUUAGAUUUUUCUUCUUUUUGAAUCACUUCUGGCUUCAAACCAUGUUGCUAGUUAGCAAUUCCUGCCAGAAAGCAAAGCCAGAAGGUUUAAAAUCAAGCAAUAAGUAUAGAGGAACAGAAUAAAUGCUUUUCCCUAAAAAGCAGCUGGAAGAUUAGGAUUGUGGCCAUGCCACAGUACUAAAGAGAAAAGAGCUUAUUUUGACAAAAGGGUUAACAGAUAUUAAAAACAAAGCAUCAACUGAAGUGACAGAUAGGGCCUGGAAUUAGUGGGGCCAGAGGAGGUGCCUCAGGGCUCACUGGUAGCAGAUCCAGAUACUAGCAGGGGGAAAAACUUCUAUCAUCUUUUGCAGGUGUUUUAUUCAGAGAUGUAGGUAAGUAUCUGGUUUUGGUUGUUCUUGAAAAUUAUAAUUUAUAAGAUUCUUUUCUUCUGCAGAUGACUGCUUCCAGAACAUAAAUAUAGAUGAUAUAGAUAUAGAUAUUUUGUCCAAUUUGCAUAUGAGCCUUCUGAAGAAUGUAGUCAGAGUUCGACACAUAGAUGAGAGCAGCCCUAGAGAUGAAGAGAAUGGAGUGAAAAGUAUUGAAGAAAAUAGGUGUGGUGUUCUGCACCAGCAAUACAACACGAUUCCUUGUGCCCUGGCCUCAGGAGGAAAAAGAGGGUGUCAGAGAAGCUGUCACUCCAAAAGUGAGGGAGAUGAACUUCUGUGGAAUACUGAGAGCUCUUUUAACAGUGGGGGCCUGAGUGCUUGUGUUGUGUGUGUGUGUGUGUAGCAAAGUACUUAAAUUCCAAGGUGUAUGGUGCAGCUUUCUGUCUUGAACAAUCUUGUUUAAAUUAAUGUAGCAGGAGACCUAGAAAUCCAUGACUUCCCUACCUGUUGACUGGUUACUGAAAUCGUUUUGUCUUGUAUUAAAUGACUGACAAAGUGAUUUGUGCCAACCAUUACAACCGGUAUUGGUGACAUUUGGAAAAGAUUUAUUUGGGUCAAAUAAAUAUAUGGAAUUAAAAAAAAAAAAAAAUGUG